CAUUUAUUUAAAGGCAUUUUAACACAUUUAUAGCAGGAAAUACAAGCAUUGUUCCUAGAAGAAUAUAACAAAUCGUUUACUUACAUAUAUCAAUUUUUUUUUAAAUAUAUUGAAUACCUUUCACAAACCUUGGAGAUAGUAAUUAGAAAUGCAAUAGCAACAAGUAAAAUUGGAAUAGAGAUUUAUAAUAUUUUAAAUGCAGUCUCAUGUAAUCUGAGCUACUUAAAUGCAUAUUCUCAUGUUACAUAGUCUUAGCUCCCUAAAUGCAAAUUUUCAUUUUAUGUAAUCUUAGCUACUCAAAACGUAUGCUAUUCAUUUUUUUUCCCUUAAAAUUUGGGUCAACAGAAGCGAAAAUUCUAGAUGAAAAUGAUUGUUGAAAAAAUAAUGAAGUUUUAUGAUAUAAAGAUACUAUAUAUCAAAACUAAAUUUAUUUCAAACAAACCUUUUAUGCACUAAAAAAAACUUUACAAGUUUUAAAACAAAUAUAAACAAACAAGGAUGAUAAAAGACACAGACCUGCUACAUCUCAUUCCAAUAAAUGUUAAAAAAAUAAAAUAUUUGCAUAAUCAAAGCUUAGCUGGUCAGAAUUUUAGUUUAAUUAUUCAAAUAUUAUAAAUGAUUUAAAACAACAAAUAAUUAACAAUCACUUACUCUUUUGUACACAUGACAUAAAUAACCUGUCACAAUCAAUAUAAAAUACUGGAACAUGCAUAAUAUAGCAUAAUAGAAUUUAAACAAUGCAAAAAGAACAAAAAUCUUUGAAGGUUUUAAACCAAGGGAAAUAACUCAGUAACAACAUAUGUGGAUACAGUCAAAAUGAAAUGCAAUCAAUAUAUCUACAGAAUAUUUCAUAGAAAAUGGUUGAGGGGCACUAGAUAUGCAAGUUAAAUAUCUGUGUUUUAAAGUAAAUAAUAAUAAUGAAGGAAAUUUCUAGAGUCGUUAUGAAGUUAUUGACAAAAGAAAUAAAGAGAUAAACCAAAGCAAAAAUUACAUUUCCAAAUUGUCUAUGACAUAGUCAUAAAAACAAGUUACAAAACUAUCACAAUUCUUUAUUGACAUUCACCACAAAUCAGAAUAAUAUUCUCUUAUAUAUUGAAAAUAAUCAUUCCAUACAAAAGAUAACUUUUUAUACAUUUUACUGUUCCAUAAAUUAUCAUCCUAAUACUGUUCCUAGAAGGUCAUUGGAAGAAUGAAUGAAUAACUAAAGGUAAUGUGCUAAUACUGUUUCUAGAAGAUCAUUGAAAGAAUGAAUGAAUAAUUAAAGAUAAUGUGAGAAAAGCUAACAAAAUAAUACACCUUAUCGCUAAUCUCGGCUGACCCGGCCGCUUGAACUUUUAACGUCAUACAACAAUCACUUUUCCAAUGUGGAGUCAGAUAUUUUGUUUUAUGACGUCAAAAUUUUACAGGAACCUAUAUGAUAUCCAGUAAUGGCGGACAAAUAGCGAUAAGGUGUAUACAACAUCCCAACAUAAAACAGUGUUAAUGUUUUCAAUAUUUAUUUUUACAGAAAACGAAAUAAACCUUCAGUGAAAUUACUAUCAAAAAAUCCAUAAAUAACUAUACAAAAUCAAAAAUCAAAAAACUUUUGUUUAAAAAUUUGAAUAAAUAUCAAAAUUUUCAAUGUAC
rnacentral:lncRNA from 1 species